rnacentral:lncRNA from 1 species
AGAUGGCAUCAGACUCGCUUAUUCUGACUUAAGAAAACAAAUUUUGAGAGAAAAAGUUUUAUUUACUUAGGUUUUUUCUUUUUCUUUUUCUUUUUCUUUUUCUUUUUUUUUAGAGAGAGAGAGAGAGAGCGCGCGCAGGGGAGGAGCGGUGGGAAGGGGACAGAUCUGAUCUGAAGCGGGCUCUGUGCUGACAAGCAGAGAGCCCGAUGUGGGGCUCAACCUCACAAACCGCAAGAUCAUGACCCGAGAUCAUGACCCGGGCUGAAGUCAGAUGCUUAACUGACUGAGUUACCCAGGCGCCCCUAUUUACUUAGUUUUAUUGUGAAAUCAGAGUUGUGUAAAUCAGGCACAUAAGGAAAGAUUUAGGGGGAAGAUCGUACUCUUCGGAAACAGAGUUCUCUGAUCCCUGAUCCACAUUUGCAAGCCCCCAGGGUUGUUUCAAUUUUGCCAGUGAGUUUCAAGAACUUACUUUGAAAACUCUUGAAACGACAUUAAGCCCUUGAAACUUUUUUGGCAAGAUGCCGUGGUGCCUUUGUAGAAAAGAAAGGAGUGAUUACGACAUGGAACCGAUGGAAACAAGGAUAGUGUCUACCUUCCCGAGAAUUGACGUCGCAUUAAGAUUAGCUCCCGAUGAAAAGAGCUAAGCUGUUACCAUAAGCCCUGUUUCACAGGUAAAGAGCCGAAAGCCUCUUGUGCCUCCAGUUCUACCAGCCAGUCGAGGAGAUUUGGUCCAGGUCUCCUUCGUAAAGCCUAGAGCUUUUCUUCCGCAACAGUCCAAGAUCCUGCUCCGUUAUUGCAGCCCAACCCGCCUGCCACCUCCUCCGAGAUGCCCUCGAGGACCGAGAGACACCCUCCCACCCCAUACCUCAUUUAACCCUGGCCCAUUCCUGUCCCUGGUCAUCCUAGCUAAUGGCUCCGCAGUUUUGGUCCUUAUCUCCCAGCCCUGUGUGUGUCCCGUGUUCCAUUCCUCGUGGUGUCACCACACGCUGCUUGGCUGGAGGUGAUGCUGGGCACCGACAGCGGCAGCUUUUGAUUGGCGAGGAUACAACACUCGACCUCCCCGGGCGCCUGGGUCGCUCAGUUGAUUAAGCAUCUGACUGUUAAUUUUGGUUCAGGUCACGAUCUCAUGGUUCUCGAGUUCGAGUCCUGUGUAGGGCUCUGCGCUGACGGCAUGGAGCCUGCUUGGGAUCCUCUCCCUUCCUUUUUUUCUGCCCCUCCCCUGCUCACGUUCCCUCUUUCUCCUCUCUUUUUCUCAAAAUAAA